AGAAUCAACGCUGGCGGCGUGCCUAACACAUGCAAGUCGAACGAGAAAGUGGAGCAAUCCAUGAGUAAAGUGGCGCACGGGCGAGUAACACGUGAAUUAUCUACCUCCGAGUGGGGAAUAACUGAGAGAAAUCUUAGCUAAUACCGCAUAACACUUACGAGUCAAAGCAGCAAUGCGCUUGGAGAGGAGUUCGCGGCCGAUUAGUUAGUUGGCGGGGUAAUGGCCCACCAAGACGAUGAUCGGUA
rnacentral:rRNA from 1 species